rnacentral:rRNA from 1 species
AGCGAACGCUGGCGGCAGGCCUAAUACAUGCAAGUCGAGCGGCCCUUCGGGGCAGCGGCGGACGGGUGAGUAACGCGUGGGAAUACGCCCUUUGGUACGGAACAACUGAGGGAAACUUCAGCUAAUACCGUAUGUGCCCUUCGGGGGAAAGAUUUAUCGCCAUUGGAGUAGCCCGCGUUGGAUUAGGUAGUUGGUGAGGU